rnacentral:rRNA from 1 species
GACGAACGCUGGCGGCAUGCUUAACACAUGCAAGUCGAACGGAAAGGCCCUGCUUUUGUGGGGUGCUCGAGUGGCGAACGGGGGGGGAACCCGGGGAUAACCUGCCCUUGACUUUGGGAUAAAUUCAGGAAACUGGGGCUAAUACCGGAUAGGUGCUCCUGCUGCAUGGUGGGGGUUGGAAAGUUUCGGCGGUUGGGGAUGGACUCGCGGCGUAUCAGCUUGUUGGUGGGGUAGUGGCUUACCAAGGCUUUGACGGGUAGCCGGCCUGAGAGGGUGACCGGCAACAUUGGGACUGAGAUACGGCACAGACUCCUACGGGAGGCAGCAGUGGGGAAUAUUGUACAAUGGGCGGAAGCCGGAUGCAGCAAAGCCGCGUGCGGGAUGACGGCCUUCGGGUUGUAAACCGCUUUCGCCUGUGACGAAGCGUGAGUGACGGUAAUGGGUAAAGAAGCACCGGCUAACUACGUG